CACUGGAUGGUACACUGUAGUCUAAUUCUAUAAAAUUUUACAAAUAGUUCACGAGGUACUGCGCCUCUCAUUGUCCAGCGAUGUUAUUUAUUGACGCUCCUGGCGAUAUCACGCAACAAACUAUAUGAUAUUCGGUUGUAAUGACUUACUUUGGCGUUUAGAGAAGACUGCUUGGGGUAUGGAACACUAUUGAAGUGAUUACAGCACUACCGCUGGCACCCUAACCAUGGCGAUUGGAUGGUUUAUACGACUCUUCAUUUCAUCAUGCCUCAUAACAAAUGCUUCUGCAGACAGUCAUCAUUGCACCAACUGUGAUGGUAACAACGUGACCUGUGUUGACGGUGUGUGUCUACCUCGCUGUGUCAGUGUGACGUCAUCUGGAGAGUGUCUCCAGUGUCGGGACUCCAGGUUCUAUGGUAAACAGUGUCAACAUGACUGUCCAGACACCUGUCUCAACUCUCGCUGUCAGACGAACAACACCCGUGUUGUGUGUACAGAGGGAUGUGUGGCCGGCAAGAAGGGAGAUAACUGUGGUGUGAACUGUCCUACAGCCUGUACACAGUGUGAACGUUAUGGUGAUGGUUGUACAGGACCGUG